rnacentral:rRNA from 1 species
UAGGUAUCUUCCCUUUGGUGAGGAAUAACACGAGGAAACUUGUGCUAAUACCUCAUAAGUCUUUACGGAGAAAGCUUUAUGCGCCGAAGGAUGAGCCUGCAUUUGAUUAGUUUGUUGGUGGGGUAAUGGCCUACCAAGACUUUGAUCAAUAGCUGAUCUGAGAGGAUGAUCAGCCACAUUGGGACUGAGACACGGCCCAAACUCCUACGGGAGGCAGCAGUAGGGAAUAUUGCACAAUGGAGGAAACUCUGAUGCAGCGAUGCCGCGUGAGUGAAGAAGGCCCUUGGGUUGUAAAGCUCUUUCGUCGGGGAAGAAAAUGACUGUACCCGAAUAAGAAGGUCCGGCUAACUUCGUGCCAGCAGCCGCGGUAAUACGAAGGGACCUAGCGUAGUUCGGAAUUACUGGGCUUAAAGAGUUCGUAGGUGGUUAAAAAAGUUGGUGGUGAAAUCCCAGAGCUUAACUCUGGAACUGCCAUCAAAACUUUUUAGCUAGAGUGUGAUAGAGGAAAGCAGAAUUUCUAGUGUAGAGGUGAAAUUCGUAGAUAUUAGAAAGAAUACCAAUUGCGAAGGCAGCUUUCUGGAUCAUUACUGACACUGAGGAACGAAAGCAUGGGUAGCGAAGAGGAUUAGAUACCCUCGUAGUCCAUGCCGUAAACGAUGUGUGUUAGACGUUGGA